UUGUUUUUUCAUUCUUUAAGUCAUGUUGCUGACAGCUGUUUCUUUUGAUUUAUGUUUUGGUUUCCCCAUGGUUCAUGUGGGUAUCUUCUUUUUUUUUCAAUCAGUUUUCUAGUGGCUCUCUUUUUCUUCAGUAUUGAUUUUACAAUCACUAAAUACAUUUUGAAUAACUUUUUUUAUUCAAUAGCUUUAAAUUAACCAUACAAAUAUACAAUUCAUACAAGAAAGAAAUAUUUUAAAAUUGUCAACAUUCAUAAACAUGAUAAAACAAUCGAACAGGAAAAUCAGAAAAUGUGAUUGAUAAUACAUAUUUGUAUUUUAAAUUCUCAAUGGCAGAUCCAGGGGGAGUGUUCCGGGGGUUGGAUACCCCCUUUUUUUGUCCUGGGAUGGGACCCCCCCUUUUUAAAAUGGCUGGAUCCGCCCCUGAUUCUGUAACAUUUGUAUUACUUUAGUCAAAUUUCCUUUUCAUUGAUCUUUUUUUUAUUUUUCUUUACUUUUAAAAAAAAAAUUCAAGUGGGUAUCACAGCUUGAUAGAUUUAAAUUUUUUUUUAAAUCUAACAAAAGUUAAUACCAGUGACUCCUGUUUUGUAAAUACAGUUUAAGUUUAAC
rnacentral:lncRNA from 1 species